rnacentral:rRNA from 1 species
AAUGGCAUAAGCCAGCUUGACUGCGAGCGUGACGGCGCGAGCAGGUGCGAAAGCAGGUCAUAGUGAUCCGGUGGUUCUGAAUGGAAGGGCCAUCGCUCAACGGAUAAAAGGUACUCCGGGGAUAACAGGCUGAUACCGCCCAAGAGUUCAUAUCGACGGCGGUGUUUGGCACCUCGAUGUCGGCUCAUCACAUCCUGGGGCUGAAGUAGGUCCCAAGGGUAUGGCUGUUCGCCAUUUAAAGUGGUACGCGAGCUGGGUUUAGAACGUCGUGAGACAGUUCGGUCCCUAUCUGCCGUGGGCGCUGGAGAACUGAGGGGGGCUGCUCCUAGUACGAGAGGACCGGAGUGGACGCAUCACUGGUGUUCGGGUUGUCAUGCCAAUGGCACUGCCCGGUAGCUAAAUGCGGAAGAGAUAAGUGCUGAAAGCAUCUAAGCACGAAACUUGCCCCG